UAGCAGAGGGUGCAAGCGUUGUUCGGAAUUAUUGGGCGUAAAGCGCGUGUAGGCGGCUUGUUAAGUCGGGUGUGAAAGCCCUCAGGCUCAACCUGAGGAAGGGCGACCCGAAACUGGCGAGCUUGAGUGUCGGAGAGGAUGGCGGAAUACCCAAGUAGAGGUGAAAUUCGUAGAUAUGGGGUGGAACACCGGUGGCGAAGGCGGCCAUCUGGACGACAACUGACGCUGGAGACGGAGAAACGGUGGGAGCAAACAGGG
rnacentral:rRNA from 1 species